CUUUGAACUGUUUCCUGUUUCAGAUCAAAGUGUGUGACACCUGUCAGCACACAGAAAGGAGUAAAAACCUGGCCAGGACGGUCCGGCCCAUUAAAGUGGACGCACCUUGGGAGAUCGUUGGGAUCGACAUUAUAGGGCCUUUCCCAGAGACGCAGCAGGGGAACUCUAACGUCAUAGUGCUCAUCGAUUACUUCAGUAAAUGGCCCGAAGCUUUUCCGGUUCAGAGGACGGACGCUCUCUCUGUCGCAAAAUGUAUUUCCAAAUGCAUAUACAGGUUUGGUGCCCCUAAAACAAUAGUGUGCACGCAGAACGCUGACUUCUGUGAUGAGGUGAGAUUAUUAAAAUACUGUAAAUAAAUAUUAAAGCACAGAUGUAAACACCCAUGCUGCUGUUUUCACAACAUACGAUGAUACUUUAUUAUCAGAUAAAGUCUGGAAGGUUUUUUGCAUCACUGCAGGACCAUUUGCAACUUAAA